ACGGAAGGCAGCAGUGGGGAAUAUUGCACAAUGGGGGAAACCCUGAUGCAGCGACGCCGCGUGAAGGAAGAAGUAUCUCGGUAUGUAAACUUCUAUCAGCAGGGAAGAAAAUGACGGUACCUGACCAAGAAGCCCCGGCUAACUACGUGCCAGCAGCCGCGGUAAUACGUAGGGGGCAAGCGUUAUCCGGAUUUACUGGGUGUAAAGGGAGCGUAGACGGAAUUGCAAGUCUGAUGUGAAAGGCAUGGGCUCAACCCGUGGACUGCAUUGGAAACUGUGAUUCUUGAGUGCCGGAGGGGUAAGCGGAAUUCCUGGUGUAGCGGUGAAAUGCGUAGAUAUCAGGAGGAACACCGGUGGCGAAGGCGGCUUACUGGACGGCAACUGACGUUGAGGCUCGAAGGCGUGGGGAGCAAACAGGAUUAGAUACCCUGGUA
rnacentral:rRNA from 1 species